rnacentral:rRNA from 1 species
UACGUAGGUGGCGAGCGUUGUCCGGAUUUACUGGGCGUAAAGAGCGCGCAGGCGGUCGUUCAAGUCGCGUGUGAAAGCCCCCGGCUCAAGUGGGGAGGGUCACGCGAUACUGAUCGACUCGAAGGCAGGAGAGGGUAGUGGAAUUCCCGGUGUAGUGGUGAAAUGCGUAGAUAUGCGGAGGAACACCGAUGGCGAAGGCAAUCCCCUGAACCUGUACUGACGCUCAUGCACGAAAGCGUGGGGAGCAAACAGG